ACACUGCACAGCCUGCCAGAGAGACUGAGAGAGCGAGAGAGAGAAAGAUCGCGCAGAGAAUAAGCUUAGACAGUAAGCUCUGCAACAGUUUCCGUACGUGCAGACACAAUCAAAGAGAGUCCAACUAGCCAGCUCCUAUCCAUAAAUAAAACUUACUUGAGCUUUGAGAGAAUCAGCUUAAACAACCAGGCAGCGCAGCUGACGCAUUGCAAUCUACAUGGGUCUGCGUCUGCGAGGCUGGGGGCAGCUUGAGUCAGACUUUGAGGAGUUACUCAUGCUCAUACAGCUGUUAUGAUCGUUUUUGGAAGGAAAG